rnacentral:lncRNA from 1 species
AAUCGUGGAAUAAAUGAAUCCUAAUUUCUUUCAUGCAAAUUGAAAGCCCAAAUCGAGUUGUUUGCAAAUUUUGCCUUUUGCUUAUUCAAAGUAGGGAGCAUUUUUGAAUAAAUUUGGUUUUGGAAUCUAAAGUUGGGGAGAGUAAAGUGAAAAGUUGAUUAGAAACUUGGAAAAGUGAGUUUUUAUGAAAGGGUAAAAAUAUGAAAAGAAACCAGAAAAAGAAAUCACCCUUGAAACCAUAGAGCGAAAAAAAAAAGCAAAGAAAAUGCUCAUGGUUGUGUGGAUUUGAAAAGAAAAAGAAAAAGAAAAAGAUAGG